ensembl:lncRNA
GCGCAAUCUCCAGCUGCAGUAUUUUUCCGUUUGCUUCUGAUGACAAUCCAACUGCCACCACUGAUAGAUUAUCGAAUAGAUAUGUGAAAAACACAUUGAGGAUUGAUUCUAAACAACGUUUGCCAUGUUUCUGUUGAUAUUAUGGGGCUAAUUUUGAAAAAAGUUCGGCGUUGUAAGUGACUGCAUUUUCUGGUAUUUUUCUUAGCCAAACGUGAUGAACAAAACGGAGCGAUUUCGUCUACACAAAUAAUCUUUUUGGAAAAAAUGCAACAUUUGCUAUCUAACUAAGAGUCUCGUCAUUGAAAACAUCCGAAGUUCUUCAAAGGACUACUCGACAAGGCACCUGAUACUGGACAACUACAGAGAAGGACAACAGUAGAAGACUUGUUGGAACCAUUUUGGACAAUCAGAGCCUAACAGGUUCCAGAUAGCCUGAGGCUUCAGCAGGGAACGCUAUGUCCUGGUGUUUGGUGUCAACAGCUUUGCUGUUUCUCAUCAGAGAAGUGUAUAAUCUUAUUCUUUGCAGCCGAUUGGUGGAGCGCAUCCCAGCUGAGUGUUUAUCAAAGAGAAGAACUGAC